UGUUGAUGAAGGAAGACGGCUGUUGAAGGGUUUGGUGUGGUGAAAGGGGGUUAACGGCAAGGGUUUUGAAGCGGUAGUAGCGAUUUCGACGGUGAGAUGUUGGUGGUGACGAGGAGGGUUUUGAUUGUGAAGGUGGUUUUGUGGGUUCGAUGGUAGUUGCCGUUUGAUGGUGGGUUUACGGCGGUGGUCAGAAUCGAGGGAAGUUUGAGGACGAUGGAGGGUUUGUUGGUGGUGGUGGAAUCGCGAUUUGACGAUGGUGGUGGCGAUUGAAGGUUGUUGAGUGAGGGUUUGACGGUGGUUGCGAUGAAGAAACGAGGGUUUUUUAGUGUAGCGAGAGAAAGAGGGCUUUUGUGUGUGUGAAUGAAUUUUGUUAGUGGUGAGUGAAUUGGUGGAGUAGGUAUGAGUGACAUGUGGAUUUAUGGUAGUGAGAGGGAGAGGGAAUGGAAUGAGGGAGAGAGAGAUUCUUUGGAUUUUUCUGCUGAGUGUGAGAGACGUUGGAGAGUUUGUUAGGCUGUUAGUAGUGGAGAGUGAGUGGAGCAGGGAAUUUGUUUUUAGUGAUCAGG
rnacentral:lncRNA from 1 species